GGAUUCCCCUAGUAACUGCGAGUGAAGCGGGAAAAGCUCAAAUUUAAAAUCUGGCAGUCUUUGGCUGUCCGAGUUGUAGUCUGGAGAAGCGUCUUCCGCGCUGGACCGUGUACAAGUCUCCUGGAACGGAGCGUCAUAGAGGGUGAGAAUCCCGUCUUUGACACGGACUACCAGUGCUUUGUGAUGCGCUCUCAAAGAGUCGAGUUGUUUGGGAAUGCAGCUCAAAAUGGGUGGUGAACUCCAUCUAAAGCUAAAUAUUGGCGAGAGACCGAUAGCGAACAAGUACCGUGAGGGAAAGAUGAAAAGCACUUUGGAAAGAGAGUUAAACAGUACGUGAAAUUGCUGAAAGGGAAACGCUUGAAGUCAGUCGCGUUUGCUAGAACUCAGCCUGGCUUUUGCUUGGUGCAUUUUCUAGUAAACGGGCCAGCAUCACUUUUGGUUGCGGGAUAAAGGUCGCAGGAAUGUGGCACCUUCGGGUGUGUUAUAGCCUGUGAUUGCAUACCGUGGCCGGGAGUGAGGAACUCAGCACGCAUUUGUUGUGCUUAGGAUGCUGGCGUAAUGGCUUUAAACGACCCGUCUUGAAACACGGACCAAGGAGUCUAACAUGCCUGCGAGUGUUUGGGUGGUAAACCCGAGCGCGUAAUGAAAGUGAAAGUUGGGACCUCUGUCGUGGAGGGCACCGACGCCCGGACCAGACCUUCUGUGACGGAUCCGCGGUAGAGCAUGUAUGUUGGGACCCGAAAGAUGGUGAACUAUGCCUGAAUAGGGUGAAGCCAGAGGAAACUCUGGUGGAGGCUCGUAGCGAUUCUGACGUGCAAAUCGAUCGUCAAAUUUGGGUAUAGGGGCGAAAGACUAAUCGAACCAUCUAGUAGCUGGUUCCUGC
rnacentral:rRNA from 1 species